AGGGGCCAGAAGUCCGUUCCCGGAGGGAGGGCAACGUUGCGUGAUUUUUAAGGUUUCUUGCCAAGAUCCAACCUCCUCCAGCUAUGAGGGUGGGUUAGUCUGGGAUGUGGACCUUGGUGUGAUCGCUAUUCGUCAAAGUUAUUCUACAACUGGCCAUCAAGAGGAAAGCUUGGGAAGAUUACUGCAGAAUAAAGAUGGUAG